GUGGUCUAUUUAUUUUGCACUCUAGUGUUUGGCUUCUGUAGCUUAACCGAAAGCUUGAAAAUGGCCAGAUCCUAUUGUCUUAUGGUUUGACUUUCAUUGUAAUGUCAGUGAUGAGCUUAGAAGGGCCUUCUUGGCAAAUUAAGAGGUGAAUUCCAAGGCAGUGGAAUCAUAGCAUAUACAGGACCUGGAUUUGAUCACCUUUAUCUAAGCAGGAGGGGAUGGUCUGUGGUGGACAGCCCACUCAACUGGGCUUCUGGAGAUCUGGGUUCUAUUCCCAGUUCUGUCACUGACCUGCUAGGUGUAAGACAGGGGAGCAUUAGGACCAUGAGAAACCCAGUCCACAGGUUUCAGCAACAGGAGUGCAGAGGGAUUUUCCAGAGGAGCAUCAGAAAGCCUGCCCUGAUCUUGGCAUUUCUAGUGAUAGCUGCCCUAGGCACCACUGGGUCAGACCUGGGCUGGGACUCAGAAGAGUGGGCAGCCUGGGUUCCCCCCACCGGUCACAGGGUAGUGGCCUAGCACUCAGAGAGGGGAUUGAAAACCCCUGAAGAGAGUCGGUGGUACUGGACUUUAUUGGACUCUGAUACACCGAAAGGGGACUUGAACUUAACUCAGCUGGAAAGCUGGGGUCAGUGAAAGGCACAGAGGGGGUGAAAAUAUCAGCUUCAGGGAGGACGCCCUGGAGGCCUGGCCCCAUACCAGGGCUGGGAUUGUGUAAAGACAGCAGGAGUAAUUAAAGACUGAGUCCAGGGAAGGCGACCGUUAAAGUCCGUGUUGAGGACACCCGAAAGGCCCUGUUGGACUCAUACCCCAGAAGGGGUCUGCUUGAGCUGUGUUUCACAUACAGACUGUGUGUGACUCGGCCGGAGGGCUGAGUCACCGAAGCCGCCUGAGAACCCACCGACAGGGGUCGCUACAGACUGAGAGAGGUGCAGACACACAUCUGACCGGGAGGCGCUCGCAUGAGGCCGGGGAGCAUGUCUCACUAUUGACCUAACCAAAGACAACGGGCCAGAUCGUCAGUGACUUCAACCAAUGUACACCAGCAGAGGAUCAGUCCCUAGAGUGUUGUUUCCUGAUUCUAAAAAAUGGC